rnacentral:rRNA from 1 species
AUUGAACGCUGGCGGCAGGCCUAACACAUGCAAGUCGGACGGUAGCACAGAGGAGCUUGCUCCUCGGGUGACGAGUGGCGGACGGGUGAGUAAUGUCUGGGGAUCUGCCCGAUAGAGGGGGAUAACCACUGGAAACGGUGGCUAAUACCGCAUAACGUCGCAAGACCAAAGAGGGGGACCUUCGGGCCUCUCACUAUCGGAUGAACCCAGAUGGGAUUAGCUAGGAGGCGGGGUAACGGCCCACCUAGGCGACGAGCCCUAACUGGUCUGAGAGGAUGACCAGCCACACUGGAACUGAGACACGGUCCGGACUCCUACGGGAGGCAGCAGUGGGGAAUAUUGCACAAUGGGCGCAAGCCUGAUGCAGCCAUGCCGCGUGUAUGGAGAAGGCCUUCGGGUUGUAAAGUACUUUCAGCGGGGAGGAAGGCGAUGUGGUUAAUAACCGCGUCGAUUGACGUUACCCGCAGAAGAAGCACCGGCUAACUCCGUGCCAGCCGCCGCCGUAA